rnacentral:rRNA from 1 species
GAUGAACGCUGGCGGCGUGCCUAAUACAUGCAAGUCGAGCGAACAGACGAGGAGCUUGCUCCUCUGACGUUAGCGGCGGACGGGUGAGUAACACGUGGAUAACCUACCUAUAAGACUGGGAUAACUUCGGGAAACCGGAGCUAAUACCGGAUAAUAUAUUGAACCGCAUGGUUCAAUAGUGAAAGACGGUUUUGCUGUCACUUAUAGAUGGAUCCGCGCCGCAUUAGCUAGUUGGUAAGGUAACGGCUUACCAAGGCAACGAUGGGUAGCCGACCUGAGAGGGUAAUCGGCCACACUGGAACUGAGACACGGUCCAGACUCCUACGGGAGGCAGCAGUAGGGAAUCUUCCGCAAUGGGCGAAAGCCUGACGGAGCAACGCCGCGUGAGUGAUGAAGGUCUUCGGAUCGUAAAACUCUGUUAUUAGGGAAGAACAAAUGUGUAAGUAACUAUGCACGUCUUGACGGUACCUAAUCAGAAAGCCACGGCUAACUACGUG